AUACCUGUAUCUCAUUUGGAUAGAGAGUUUGCCUCCUAAGCGAAAAGUCGUAGGUUCGACUCCUAUCUGGGACGCCA
rnacentral:tRNA from 1 species